UGUCUUUUAACAGAGAGUAUAUCAGAAUUUUAAUCUUAUACCAGUGGUUUUGCUGAAGUGAAACCAACCUGAGCAUCUUAUCAGGCAUCUGAGUUAUCACCACUAGUUUGUCACCUUAGCAACAGGAAAGUUCUAGAAGAGCCAGCCUUGUGGUAUCUCCCCACAGAAAGGUUCUGUCUCCCAAAUAGCAGAAGUGCUUCACCCCAACUACGCAGGCCACGGCUUGCAGGGCUCAGGGAUGCCUCCAGCCAGCUGUGGCACCAGGGGCGAGUUCCCUGGCCAGCCAGGCCACCCCAUAAUGAAGAUCAGAUAGGGUCACUUACGUCAUGAGCAAGGAAAGGGCCUGGCUGUGACAGGCUGUCUUAGGAUUCACCAUUGCCCUCCUGGACUGCUAGGCAUGGAACAUCGUGUGACCAACAUGAAGUUCUUCUCCCAGCCUACUGAUGGAGGGUCACGUUCCUCUCCCACAGACAGCAGGAUCCUGCCAGGAGCCCAGGCUCAGCAGAGACAUCCUCACCAUCCCCCAUGUUAUCACCAUGACAGCUCAGAGAGAGCCCCAGUGACCUGUGUCACAAUAGGAUCUUGUAGACAUGACUGUGACCUCCAAGCCUGGGUCAUAAAAGACAAUCACCCUGCCAGGCUGUCUCUGAGAGCAGCCAGCCACCAUGCCCUGCAGAUGCCCAAGCAGUCCUGUGGAGAGCCAUGUAUGGAGAGGAACCAGCCGUGUGAGGGAUUGCCAGGGAAGGGAGUCUUCUGGCCUCAGUCACACCUUCAGAUGAGACCACAGCCCCAAACACCCACCCAACUGCUCCCAAAUUGCUGACCUCCAGAAACCAGGAGAGCUCAUAUGUGUUGAUCGUUAUACGACUGAAUUAUGGACCCAAGACCUCUCUCCCCUGCUGGCUCUCCAAUUCAGUCCGAAGAUGGGGACAGAGACCACGGGAAGGUCACAGCACUUCUAAACCCUCUGGACUGGAAGUGGCACUUGCUGGACCCACUCAUGUUCCACUGUGGCCCCAGCAGCCCCCUGAGAUGCAACACAACGUCCCCGGUCAGCAGGGGCAGCCACUAUAGUCCUCAGUGAUCCAGCCCAGGGCCCAUCAGCGCUGUGGCCGAGACUUGGGCUGCAGAGGCUGGAAUGUGGCCUCUGAACAGCCUGCUGUGGAUAGAGAAGGAAGAACAUGAAAACGUGAGCAAUGAAGCCAACAAUAACCCAUCAUUUAAAUCCUGCUUCUCACACUUUGUCUUGGAAACAAAAGUGAUCCAAGGAAUUCAUGCCCAGUCUCCACCCAACAGAACCCUGCUGAGGCAUCGAUGGCCUUGCAGAUCCUCUCCAGCAGGGCCUCCCAGGCUGGUGUGGUUCCUCCACGAGAAGUGUGAAAUCUUCUGUCACCAUAUACAUUUGGGAAAUGCCAGGAGCAUCUCCUCAGGAUUCAGCCCCAAAACGGAUGGGCAUGUGCACUGGGCAGGACCGAGCAGCGGAAGCUGAGUGCCAAUGUGAGUGUAAGUGGUCGGGCCACCUGGCAAGCAUCUGGCAGCUUCCCCUGGAGGGAAGCACUCACCUGGCCUAUUAACCGGGACAAAUGAAAAUACAUGCCCCCCACCCCCACCAAGGCCACCUGCCCCUGUUUGGACAAUCACCUGUCUGGACAAGGAGGCCAGCACAUCCUGCAUGUUGGUGGGGGGGGGGGGGGACUCAAGCCCCGGGGUGUCAAGGGCACAGCGCUGGCUGCCAUCCGCCUCUGCCCACUGGGAAUGCUCCGGGGAGGGGCCUCUAACCAGACUUGAUAGAACAUAUAGACAGCACACUUUUGUGUGGACUCUUGACACUCAGAACCAUG